rnacentral:rRNA from 1 species
AUACGAAAGGUGCGAGCGUUGUUCGGAUUUACUGGGCGUAAAGCGAGUGUAGGUGGUUUGUUAAGUCGGAUGUGAAAUCCCGGGGCUCAACCUCGGAACUGCAUUCGAUACUGGCAGGCUAGAGUUCGGGAGGGGUAAGCGGAAUUCCGUGUGUAGCAGUGAAAUGCGUAGAUAUACGGAGGAACACCUGAGGCGAAGGCGGCUUACUGGACCGAUACUGACACUGAGACUCGAAAGCGUGGGUAGCAAACAGGAUUAGAUACCCUAGUAGUCC